rnacentral:tRNA from 1 species
CGUUCAAUGGCCAAAUUGGUAAAGGCAUCGCCGAUCACAGGCGUGAAUGCGGAUUCGAGUCCCGCUGGAACGG